UACGUAGGGGGCAAGCGUUGUCCGGAAUCAUUGGGCGUAAAGGGCGCGUAGGCGGCCUGGCAAGUGGAAGGUGAAAUCCCUCGGCUUAACCGAGGAACUGCCCUCCAAACUGCUAGGCUUGAGGCCGGGAGAGGUGAGUGGAAUUCCCAGUGUAGCGGUGAAAUGCGUAGAUAUUGGGAAGAACACCGGUGGCGAAGGCGGCUUCCUGGUCUGCGACUGACGCUGUGGCGCGAAAGCUAGGGGAGCAAACGGG
rnacentral:rRNA from 1 species